CCUGGGGAGUACGGCCGCAAGGUUAAAACUCAAAUGAAUUGACGGGGGCCCGCACAAGCGGUGGAGCAUGUGGUUUAAUUCGAUGCAACGCGAAGAACCUUACCUGGUCUUGACAUCCACAGAACUUUCCAGAGAUGGAUUGGUGCCUUCGGGAACUGUGAGACAGGUGCUGCAUGGCUGUCGUCAGCUCGUGUUGUGAAAUGUUGGGUUAAGUCCCGCAACGAGCGCAACCCUUAUCCUUUGUUGCCAGCGGUUCGGCCGGGAACUCAAAGGAGACUGCCAGUGAUAAACUGGAGGAAGGUGGGGAUGACGUCAAGUCAUCAUGGCCCUUACGACCAGGGCUACACACGUGCUACAAUGGCAUAUACAAAGAGAAGCGACCUCGCGAGAGCAAGCGGACCUCAUAAAGUAUGUCGUAGUCCGGAUUGGAGUCUGCAACUCGACUCCAUGAAGUCGGAAUCGCUAGUAAUCGUAGAUCAGAAUGCUACGGUGAAUACGUUCCCGGGCCUUGUACACACCGCCCGUCACACCAUGGGAGUGGGUUGCAAAAGAAGUAGGUAGCUUAACCUUCGGGAGGGCGCUUACCACUUUGUGAUUCAUGACUGGGGUGAAGUCGUAACAAGGUAACCGUAGGGGAACCUGCGGUUGGAUCACCUCCUUA
rnacentral:rRNA from 1 species